UACGUAGGCAGCGAGCGUUGUUCGGAGUUACUGGGCGUAAAGAGUGCGUAGGCGGUUUUCUAAGUUUGGUGUGAAAUCUCCCGGCUCAACUGGGAGGGUGCGCCGAAGACUGGAAGACUAGAGUGUGGGAGAGGUAAGCGGAAUUCCUGGUGUAGCGGUGAAAUGCGUAGAUAUCAGGAGGAACACCUGCGGUGUAGACGGCUUACUGGACCACCACUGACGCUGAGGCGCGAAAGCUAGGGUAGCAAACGGG
rnacentral:rRNA from 1 species